AGCAGCCGCGGUAAUUCCAGCUCCAAUAGCGUAUAUUAAAGUUGUUGCAGUUAAAAAGCUCGUAGUUGAAUUUCGGGGUUAGUAGGUUGGUCAUGCCUCUGGUAUGUACUGGCCUCACUGAUUCCUCCUUCCUGAUGAACCGUAAUGCCAUUAAUUUGGUGUUGCGGGGAAUUUGGACUGUUACUUUGAAAAAAUUAGAGUGUUUAAAGCAAGCUAACGCUUGAAUACAUUAGCAUGGAAUAAUGAAAUAGGACGUUCGAUCCUAUUUUGUUGGUUUCUAGGAUUGACGUAAUGAUUAAUAGGGAUAGUUGGGGGCAUUAGUAUUCAAUUGUCAGAGGUGAAAUUCUUGGAUUUAUUGAAGACUAACUACUGCGAAAGCAUUUGCCAAGGAUGGUUUCAUUAAUCAAGAACGAAAAGUUAGGGGAUCGAAGACGAUCAGAUACCGUCGUAGUCUUAACCAUAAAACUAUGCCGACUAGGGAUCGGAUGAUGUUAAUUUUUAAUGACUCAUUCGGCGCCUU
rnacentral:rRNA from 1 species